rnacentral:rRNA from 1 species
AUGGACGCGGCGUGGGCGUGCGCGGUGGACCGGGCCGCCGGCGUGGCCGACUCCACCAGGCGCUUCUUCCUCUCCUUCCGCCGCCCUCCGCCUCCGCCGCCCGGCCCCAACCCGAUAGACAUCUUGAAGCGUCUGCAGCGACAAGCGUUCUACGACAUAAUGCAGCUGAGGGAUAGGCAAGAGAAGGUCGAGAAGGUGCUCACGCUGUUCAAAUCUCACAAAGUCGGUCCAUUUGCGGAAGAGAGCACCCGGGUCAAGGGCCUCAUCAAUUUCACCGGAGCCCUAGCACUGAACAGCAAAGAAGGCGUGGAACCAUACAGCCCGGAAGCAAAUUCUGGCAUCAGCUCACAGUUUGCGUUCCGGACAAGUGUCCGGAAGAAGGACUCUCUCCUGGCAGAGCUUGCCACCGAUUCCAGAUACUUCUAUCAGGAAAAUGAUCUCAUGGGGAGCCCUCUUGUGCUGUCGAAGGUGAUGUACCUGGCAAACGUCAGCGACCACAUGUCUGUUGCUGCGGUGCCGGUAGGAGCAAGGUGUGAUGAUUUUUCAACCGAUCCAAGCAUCCAAGAGGGGCAAUGGGUUCCCAGCUUCCAUACCUCGCUGAGGCCACCUCUGCUGCUUAAGCGUCACAAGCGCGCUGCUGGCCUGAUACUGAGGUCGCAGAACUUCGCGGCCUCUCUCGCCGAGUUGAUCUCAACAGCUGCGAAAAGCUCGGGUGAAGCCAGCAGCAUCUUCACCGGAUUCGGGCAGAUUUCAUGCAAGAUGUGUGACGACAUAAAGCUGACCAUGUCCGCGGCCUGGCAUGGACCGUCUGCGAUUCCUCGGAAGAGCAAACCGACCGCUGGAGGGUGCCUCGACUUCGAGCUGAAGUUCGACGAGGACUCGAGAUUUGGGGCGUGGGUCGAGGUGAAGAGGUCGAACCCGAGGCAGCUGAAAUGGGCCGUCACGCUGUCGGAUACGCCGGAGAACGACCUAGGCUGGGGCGUGAGCCUGCGGAGAGGCUCCGAGGGGGCGCCAGAGCGGAUUCAGCUAGAAGGGUUUCUCAACUUACAUCUAGGCCAGAAUGCCACCCUGCAGCCUGGUGUCAUGUUCAACCUGGAUGGGAGGCGAUGCGCCCCAGCGCUCGUGUUCCGGUCAAGUUGGUUCUUGUGA